GGCCUCGUAGCUCAGCUGGUAGAGCACUCGCGAUAUUAAAGCGAGGGUAGUGACCAUGCGUGGGUUCGAACCCUGCCGGGGCCA
rnacentral:tRNA from 1 species